CCUACGGGAGGCAGCAGUGAGGAAUAUUGGUCAAUGGGCGAGAGUCUGAACCAGCCCAGUAGCGUGAAGGAUGACUGCCCUAUGGGUUGUAAACUUCUUUUAUAUAGGAAUAAAAUGUUCCACGUGUGGGAUUUUGUAUGUACCAUAUGAAUAAGGAUCGGCUAACUCCGUGCCAGCAGCCGCGGUAAUACGGCGGAUCCGAGCGUUAUCCGGAUUUAUUGGUUUUAAAGGGAGUGUAGAUGGAUUGUUAAGUCAGUUGUGAAAGUUUGCGGCUCAACCGUAAAAUUGCAGUUGAUACUGGCAGUCUUGAGUACAGUAGAGGUGGGCGGAAUGCGUGGUGUAGCGGUGAAAUGCUUAGAUAUCACGAAGAACUCCGAUUGCGAAGGCAGCUUACUGGACUGCCACUGACAUUGAUGCUCGAAAGUGUGGGUAUCAAACAGGAUUAGAUACCCGAGUAGUC
rnacentral:rRNA from 1 species